UUACUCCUCAAUUCCAAACCUUUCCUCAAGGGAUUAACAGAAAAGCCAGUAGAUGGUGAAACUUAAGUGGGGAAUGGAUUACAAAGGCUAACUGGUAUCUGUAGAUGGCUAUAUGAACAUGUAACUUGCAAAUACAGAAGAAUACAUAGUUAAAGUGUUUGUGGAUGAAGUUUUAAUAAGGUAUAAUAAUGUCCUUCAUAUCAGAGGUGUGGAAGAAAAGGAAGAGGAUGGGGAAAUGAGAGAAGAGCAUCUUUUCUGGGGGAUUUUUAAAAUACAUAUUUCUACACAAUAAAGAUUUGUUUUUCAAAUAAAUAAA
rnacentral:lncRNA from 1 species